UUCGGGCCUGCAACGUUGUUUUACGUUGUCCCCUGCAAGCCGUCGCCGACGCACUUCCUAUUCGAAUUUCCAAGCGAUCCUGUCGUCACUCUGCGGCACGGC
rnacentral:ncRNA from 1 species